rnacentral:rRNA from 2 species
GUCAGCUCGUGUCGUGAGAUGUUGGGUUAAGUCCCGCAACGAGCGCAACCCUUGAUCUUAGUUGCCAGCAUUCAGUUGGGCACUCUAAGAUGACUGCCGGUGACAAACCGGAGGAAGGUGGGGAUGACGUCAAAUCAUCAUGCCCCUUAUGACCUGGGCUACACACGUGCUACAAUGGACGGUACAAAGGGCAGCAAGACCGCGAGGUUUAGCCAAUCCCAUAAAACCGUUCUCAGUUCGGAUUGUAGGCUGCAACUCGCCUACAUGAAGCUGGAAUCGCUAGUAAUCGCGGAUCAGCAUGCCGCGGU